rnacentral:rRNA from 1 species
UACAGAGGGUGCAAGCGUUAAUCGGAAUUACUGGGCGUAAAGCGUGCGUAGACGGUUAUGUAAGUCAGGUGUGAAAGCCCCGGGCUCAACCUGGGAAUUGCGAUGGAGACUGCAAGGCUAGAAUCUGGCAGAGGGGGGUAGAAUUCCACGUGUAGCAGUGAAAUGCGUAGAGAUGUGGAGGAAUACCGAUGGGCGAAGGCAGCCCCCUGGGAUAACACUGACGCUCAUGCACGAAAGCGUGGGGAGCAAACAGG